AGAAGAUAUCUAUUUCAAGUACAAUAUGUAUAAGACAAAUUAAAAAUAAGCGGUAGGCAAGGUCAAAUCAAACAUAUAAUUUUACAGAAACUAGCCUUAGACAAUAACUAAAACCAUGGAAAGGAAUGAUUUAUUCUGGAUAUUGGCUGCUAAAGAGCACUGACCCAUAUAUAGAAUGCUUUGGUAAGAAGAGACUCAAUUUCUUAGACUAAACCCCAAAGAUACAGACUUUUGAUGAAUUUAGAUAACAGAGGGUCACUUGAAUCUUCAUUUUAGGCACCUAUUUUGGAAAUGUGAGGAAAAAAGUCAGUUUAGUGGAAAUUGGAGGGCUUCCAAUAAAAACAGUCUUGUAAAUUCAUUCUUUGAAGACUCUUCUGCUCAAAAGCAAUAGCAAUGGCAGACUAAAUACAAAAAGAGAUGACUAAAAAGAUAGAGCCACAGUCAAAAAUUAGUUAAACAUCUCCAAGGACCAUAAAUACAAGAAAAGCAAAAUGCAAUAAGCAGGUUGGAAACCAUGGGGCCUGAAAGUCUUUAGAUCCAGAAGUCGACUGAGGCAACUAGAACUUCUAAUCUCUCAGCAGAACUGACUUCGUGUGAAAGACAAAGGCCAGACUUGCUGCCUGGAAGUGGAAGCAGGGCUCUCUCAUCUGUGUUGAGAAAGGCACUCAUCUGUGUAUCUAGCGAGACGGGAGAAAGUGGUCAUUUUAGAACAAGCCACCACAAGCCAGACAAAGGAAACCAAGAGAAUUUGCCAGUAGCAGAUAUACCCUCACUAGCAGAUAUACCCUAAAUGAAUGGCAAAGGAAGUCCUCUAUAACCAGAAGAAAAAGGAUUGAAAAAAGGAGUCUUAGAACACCAGGAAGAAAAGAAGAAUAAUGGAAAAAGCAAAAAUGGCAAGUUGAGCAGUGAAGUGGCAGCCUGCUGUGUUGGGGUGAUGGCCUCACUUUUGUCAUAUUAAUGUGAGAUACAUAAGCAGGUGAGUGUCAGAGGAGAAUGUAGGAUUGUGGGCAAUCCUAAACCAGUUAGUUAGGUAGAAUUCACCGAAAUCGAAUUAAAUUUCACAAAACUACCAUUGCUGUGUGGGAUGAUAUGACACACAAAAGAAAUAAACUUGAUUAUUUCACUUAUCAAGGCAUUCCUUUGGCAUUGUCUAAAAAUAACUAUUAGCUGAUAGAGCCAAGCAUGUCUGCUCUAACAGGAGAAAGGAAAUUGAGAUUUCCCAAUAUUCUUUUCUUGCCAUGACAGAGACUAGAUUUGUGUUCAAUGAUACGUGUUUUUCUCACCAUUCCAUUGACACUUUUUUAAUCUGAUGAUUUACUUUUAUCCCAUCCCUUAAAACUAAUCCUAGGAAAGAGGUUAGAGAAAUUUCCUGAAUUACCUGGAGCCACAAAGAAAAACUAAAAGCUAAGUUUUUAUUUAUAUUGCUAGCAUUUUUGUUAGAUACAACGGUAUUUGAUACCUUUUAACUUCUAUCAAAUGUAUUAUUUAAAAAUCAUCAAUCUAGAAUUGAUGCUUAAUAAUUUUGUCAAAAAUAUUAAGUAUUAAUCAUUGUAUUAUCAUGAUUUUUUUUUUUUUGAGACAGAGUCUCACUGUGUCGCCCAGGCUGGAGUGCAACGGCGCGAUCUCAGCGGCUCACUGCAACCUCAGCCUCCUGGUUCAAGCAAUUCUCCUGCCUCAGCCUCCUGAGUAGCUGGGAUUGCAGAUGCGCACCAGUAUUAUCACAAUUUAAAAAAGGGUUUUGUAAAAUAUUAACUCUCAAUCUCCACUAAACCUAAAACAUCUCAUAUACACUCUAAUAUCAAAAAACAAAUGGUUUAACUGUAUUUAAACAGUGGGAAUAAACAUAGAGAGGUCAUUAUGUCAAUAUCAAGUUCACUCUAAUGUGUGAGUAAAUUUUAUGAUUAAGAAGUGUUGUCUAAUUGUUUUCUAAGGCAGUGGGACUCACCUAGCACAGCUGUGAAAAUUCCACAUCUUUUCACACUGAAGUUUAAAUUGAAAAAUAGAGGCCAUGUAAGUUUAUGAAGUAUGGUGAUAAAGUUAUUUCGUGACCGUUUUUUUUAAAUGUCUAUCAAUGGAAAUACUGUAACUGAUGUGGUGGUAAUAUUUAGCUACCAGAAAAAAACCAUGGCUAAGCCUUAUGAAUAUUAUCACUUCUCCCUGUAUAGGCCUGCACUGGAAAAGUCAUUCAUUCAACUACAGUAUUACACCUCUCAUGGUAACCAUUACUGGAGGCUGAUUCUUUACCUCUCCACCUCCUUUAAUCUGUAACAAGAGAGUGAUGGCUACAAUUCCACAGACUUUAAACACUGGUCAGCAUUUAAGUUUUUCUUCUAUCUUUCAGGAGGCACUAAGAACAUAUUUUGCACAAAAAACACUAAUAAGAUUGCAGAAUAAAAGUCUCAAUCAUGCAUAUAUUCUUUCCCCACUUCUUUUACUCUUCUGUUGAGUUAGUGCUUAAAACAAAAUACCGCACCUUUCUCCAUCAAUUUCCUCCAUGAAAUUCAAAGUAUUCAGGUGAGGAUAGGUUAUUUUCACAUCCAGCCUGUGUAUCUCGCUGCAUCAUGAGAAGCUCAGCUGCUGCUGUUGUUUUGUUUUUGUCUGAAGGCAGGAUGUGUUUGAUUCUCUUUUUAAAGUUACUCAAGAGAAAAUGUUGACUGCUGUAAUAAAAAUCUGGAUGAAAUUGUAGUACAAUGUGUUCUGAGACUCAUACUCUAGGAAAUGUAUGCAGAGUACACUGAGAUUAAUAAAUGAAGUGGAAAAAUCUUCUAUAUUAAAAUGUUUUUCUCUUGAAA
rnacentral:tRNA from 10 species